rnacentral:rRNA from 1 species
UUCUUUGCUGACGAGUGGCGGACGGGUGAGUAAUGUCUGGGAAACUGCCUGAUGGAGGGGGAUAACUACUGGAAACGGUAGCUAAUACCGCAUAACGUCGCAAGACCAAAGAGGGGGACCUUCGGGCCUCUUGCCAUCGGAUGUGCCCAGAUGGGAUUAGCUUGUUGGUGGGGUAACGGCUCACCAAGGCGACGAUCCCUAGCUGGUCUGAGAGGAUGACCAGCCACACUGGAACUGAGACACGGUCCAGACUCCUACGGGAGGCAGCAGUGGGGAAUAUUGCACAAUGGGCGCAAGCCUGAUGCAGCCAUGCCGCGUGUAUGAAGAAGGCCUUCGGGUUGUAAAGUACUUUCAGCGGGGAGGAAGGGAGUAAAGUUAAUACCUUUGCUCAUUGACGUUACCCGCAGAAGAAGCACCGGCUAACUCCGUGCCAGCAGCCGCGGUAAUACGGAGGGUGCAAGCGUUAAUCGGAAUUACUGGGCGUAAAGCGCACGCAGGCGGUUUGUUAAGUCAGAUGUGAAAUCCCCGGGCUCAACCUGGGAACUGCAUCUGAUACUGGCAAGCUUGAGUCUCGUAGAGGGGGGUAGAAUUCCAGGUGUAGCGGUGAAAUGCGUAGAGAUCUGGAGGAAUACCGGUGGCGAAGGCGGCCCCCUGGACGAAGACUGACGCUCAGGUGCGAAAGCGUGGGGAGCAAACAGGAUUAGAUACCCU